CCUACGGGUGGCAGCAGUGAGGAAUAUUGGCCAAUGGACGAGAGUCUGAACCAGCCAAGUAGCGUGAAGGAUGACUGCCCUAUGGGUUGUAAACUUCUUUUAUAUGGGAAUAAAAUGUUCCACGUGUGGGAUUUUGUAUGUACCAUAUGAAUAAGGAUCGGCUAACUCCGUGCCAGCAGCCGCGGUAAUACGGAGGAUCCGAGCGUUAUCCGGAUUUAUUGGGUUUAAAGGGAGCGUAGGUGGAUUGUUAAGUCAGUUGUGAAAGUUUGCGGCUCAACCGUAAAAUUGCAGUUGAAACUGGCAGUCUUGAGUACAGUAGAGGUGGGCGGAAUUCGUGGUGUAGCGGUGAAAUGCUUAGAUAUCACGAAGAACUCCGAUUGCGAAGGCAGUUCACUGGACUGCAACUGACACUGAGGCUCGAAAGUGUGGGUAUCAAACAGGAUUAGAUACCCGAGUAGUC
rnacentral:rRNA from 1 species